rnacentral:rRNA from 1 species
CCUACGGGAGGCAGCAGUGAGGAAUAUUGGUCAAUGGGCGCGAGCCUGAACCAGCCAAGUAGCGUGAAGGAUGACUGCCCUACGGGUGGUAAACUUCUUUUAUAAAGGAAUAAAGUGAGGCACGUGGGCCUUUUUGUAUGUACGGUAUGAAUAAGGAUCGGCUAACUCCGUGCCAGCAGCCGCGGUAAUACGGAGGAUCCGAGCGUUAUCCGGAUUUAUUGGGUUUAAAGGGAGCGUAGAGGGGUUGUUAAGUCAGUUGUGACAGUUUGCGGCUCAACCGUAAAAUUGCAAUUGAUACUGGCAGUCUUGUGUCCCGUUGCGUUCGGCGGUAUUCGUGGUGUAGCGG